UACCAGACCGCCCCAUGCAACCAUGGGAGAGACCAUGCUAAUAUGAGUAAUAAGAGGGUCGGACCCUCUCCCUGCACACGUGUAAAUCGGAACAGACCAACCACCGAACCCUAACGGUCCCAAACAAAGAGGGUAAUGAAAGACAGAUUAAACAACAAGAAGAGUCUUCAAAUUUUAACCGUUAACCCCACACUGGUGUGCCCCCCGGGAAAGACUAAAAGAAAAAGAAGGAACUCGGCAAACACAUGAAGCCUCGCCUGUUUACCAAAAACAUCGCCUCUUGCAAAUAAAGAAUAAGAGGUCCCGCCUGCCCUGUGACUAUAAGUUUAACGGCCGCGGUAUUUUGACCGUGCGAAGGUAGCGCAAUCACUUGUCUUUUAAAUGAAGACCUGUAUGAAUGGCAUAACGAGGGCUUAACUGUCUCCUUUUUCAAGUCAAUGAAAUUGAUCUCCCCGUGCAGAAGCGGGGAUAAGACCAUAAGACGAGAAGACCCUGUGGAGCUUUAGACGCCAAGGUAAAUCAUGUUAAACAUCCCGAAACAAAGGGCUAAACCAAAUGAAAAUUACCCCUAUGUCUUUGGUUGGGGCGACCGCGGGGAAACACAAAACCCCCAUGUGGAAUGGGACUACUCCCUCCUACAACUCAGAGCCUCCGCUCUAAUGAACAGAAUUUCUGACCAGCAAGAUCCGGCAACGCCGAUCAACGAACCGAGUUACCCCAGGGAUAACAG
rnacentral:rRNA from 1 species